rnacentral:misc_RNA from 1 species
AACGCAUCUUGCGCUCCUUGGUAUUCCGAGGAGCAUGCCUGUUUGAGUGUCAUGUAAACCUCAACCUAGACUUGGGUUUUAUUACCCAUAUCUAGAGUUGGACUUGGGCAUUUGUUGGUGCAAACCGACUUGCCUUAAAUGUAUUAGCAGCCCUUCUUCAUGAGCGGUUUGACUUGGUGUUAUAAGCUUUCGCUGAGGAUCAUCUUCGGAUGGACCGCUCUUGUUGAUACAACUGCUCUCUAAAUGACUGUUCAGCCUUGCUUUCGUCGGCAUCUGGACAUAUCUUGACAUCUGGCCUCAAAUCAGGUAGGACUACCCGCUGAACUUAA